rnacentral:rRNA from 1 species
GCCCGCUCAGAAACUCAAAGGAAUUGACGGGGCCCGGCACAAGCGGUGGAGUAUGUGGUUUAAUUCGAUGCAACGCGAAGAACCUUACCUGGUCUUGACAUCCCGGAGACCCUUAGGAAACUAGGGGGUGCUUCCAUCUGGAAGAAUCUGGAGACAGGUGCUGCAUGGCUGUCGUCAGCUCGUGUCGUGAGAUGUUGGGUUAAGUCCCGCAACGAGCGCAACCCUUGCCUUUAGUUGCCAGCAGUUCGGCUGGGCACUCUAAAGGGACUGCCGGUGUUAAACCGGAGGAAGGUGGGGAUGACGUCAAGUCCUCAUGGCCUUUAUGACCAGGGCUACACACGUACUACAAUGGCCGAUACAAAGGGCAGCGACACUGCGAGGUGAAGCCAAUCCCGUAAAAUCGGUCUCAGUCCGGAUUGGAGUCUGCAACUCGACUCCAUGAAGUUGGAAUCGCUAGUAAUCGUGGAUCAGCAUGCCACGGUGAAUACGUUCCCGGGCCUU